rnacentral:lncRNA from 1 species
GCAUGGGCUAAGGAGGGUGUGGGAGUGGACCUGCUGGAUUCGGUGGAUGUAGGAGUCGGGGCAGCAACGAGCGGCAAAUUUCUCUGCUGCUGCUAAUGUGGUGGCGGCGGCGCAGCAGCAGGCUACCUGGGGAUGGGCGUGGGCUAGUGUGGCUGCCCUUCAAUCUGAACCUGCCAGACUCCACGGUCGCCGACGACAUGGACUGGCGGUGCAUCACACCACACCUCCCUUAUGCCCUUAUCUCUACCCUUCCUCUCUCAGUCUCGGUCUCAGCCUCACAUAUUCUUCUUCUUUUUUGUUAAUUUGUUUCGUCCUGAUCUUAUGUUUCUUGGCUAAUCAGGCACAUAGGCCCAGGUAAGUGCAAUCUGGGUAGCGAAUUGUCAACUCAGAGGGUGCUUGAUAUGUUUUAGUCCCAUGACUAAAAGUAGUGGGACUAAAACUUGCUAGUCGCACCCAUGCUUAGAUCCAAAUACUAAAGAGACUAAAAUCAAGUUAUUGAGCAUUUAUUAUCCUUCAAACCCUCUAAUUCAGAACUUGCAUGUGUUAAAGGAGAGGAAUUAAAUGAGGAGAGAGAGGGCUAAUACAUAUUUUAGUAAGUUUCCUAUGACUAAAAAGUUUUAGCCUCAAAACUAGUCCUAGUUUCUCUUUAGUCAGGGAUGCUUGGAACUUUAGCCUCCCUUGGAUCCAAGCACCCUCUCACUUGCCCUGAAACAAUUGGCUUCCUGGGUGGUUGGGGCUCGCGCACCAGCUGUUCGAUGCAAUUCCACUGCAGAAUCUUCACUGCCAUUUGGAGUCGUGCUGGUGGGUUUGGACUUCUAUCUCAGAGGCAAAUCAUGAUUUCCCUUGUUAUUUGUAGCGCUUACUGUUAGGCACACGACAUUAACAGAGUUAGUUAUGGCAAAUUCAUUGUUCUGCCCGUUGGAACCUCUUGUUGCGUGAUAGUUCCUUUUCCCGGAUAUAUGCUAAUUGGGGAUAGUGUGCACUGUCUUGGCGCGCCGAAAUCGCUGACGGUGUGUAAAAUAUAAGUAUCAACUCACUUGAUUAAAGUAAAUUGUGUUAUUCCCAAACAUACAUUGUUGACUCAUUUGAUUAUUCUGGUUCAAAUGUUUGCAGUUAAAUUGACUAUGGUUUCUAUAACGUGUCACUUUUAAUACCACAUACUGUAUAAUUACAUGUUGUGCUUUAGUUGACAAGUUUUUAGUAGUGUAUCUAUUACACUUUGCAUCUACAAUCACAAAUCUGAAUGUGACAAGUACCGAGGAGUACAUCCAAAUAAUACCACUGCUAAUAGAGCCUCAUUUCAUCAUGCUAACUUCCUGAUAAUUCUGUUAGAAAUAUACAAUUGGGUUUAAUUUAGAGAUAAGGAGAUAGAGAUAGAAUUAGUUUAAACCACAUGUAACUUGUCUUGUGUAGGGUCAGAUCAAUACAACGAAUAUUGUAGGUUUUAUAUUUUCUACAUGGUAUUAGAGCGGUUUGUUCAACGACGCCGAUCUUAGGACCUUCCACCACUUCCGCAACUUGCCACUCGCCGAUCAAAGAUCAGAUUGGUCUCGUAGUUUAGAUCCAAUUUUCGAGUCCAUUAGAUCGAUCCCAUAGAUCAAGUCGAAAUUUAAGUAGAUUUUUUUAGCCACCAAAUAAAUCACGGCGGCCACGGUGGGCUGGACCAGGCACUACUGCGUGCGGCCGGCUUCAAGAUCAGAACUCCACCAGCGGACGCCACGCGCGUGCACGCCAGGAGUACCAGCCACGAGCGACGACCUCCUUCACUUCGAGCCCCGCAAGACUUCAGCGGGAUGAGCGCAUCAGCUCGACAUCUCCGCGAUGCAAUCUACACAAGACCCCUGUUAGCAGGCGGCCGCGCGUACGAGCACGUCGACACCCAGCGGGCGAUACGAGUGCGAUCCAAUCUACUUGAUAUACGCGCCGCCGGACAUCAGCCUCUACCGAACGGCUUCAUCGACCGCGCUUCAUCGUUGCUCUCCCACGCCUACAUCGACCUCCACAACCCACGCGCAGGCUGGAUCACUGACGGAAGCCACGCGGUACAAGGACGCCCAGAGGAUUUCAUCAUAUGCAUGCAUACAUGUGGCCUAGAUGGGCUAGAUGUGAUGCACGCGCAUGCAAAUUGAUGCCAGUCCGUACGGAGGUUUCUGCUGUACGCACGCGGGGAACCAUCAGAUGGACUCCAUCGCCCCGCGAAGCCGCGGACGCAUGCUCGAUGCGGGCAACCGCCACUACGGACUCCACUGCAGCUACCCUACGGCCUCGACUCCAAUUCAGGCUGCACCUACCGCCUCGCAGAUCAUGCACGCCUCAGAUCACGGAAGGGCAGUUUUCCGCGCAUCCUACUACGACGCCGCGACACCAUCGUCUACACCGAGCGCUGCAUCCCGAGCCGAGUUACAUCACCUCCUGCAUCAACCUACGCCACCGAUCUAUACCUACACCGAGCACGACUACAUCAUCAUGAUCUGCAUCAGAUAUUCUUCAUCGAGUCGAAUCCCUGCUUUGAGCUGUACGACUAUACGAGCUACGAGCCAACAUAGUUCUCCGGCAUGACACGGCAUCGACAUUUGGUGGACACGAGGGACGCCUUCAAGCGACACAUUAUCAUUGACACGCCGCUGCAACGCCAUCGUCGACACUUCAUCGCCAAUGUCUUCAUCAACAUCAUCGUCAACAUACCGCCGCCACCUCGUCCACAAGAUGGAUACAUAGCGUCCUCUGACAGAUUUUUCUGCAAGACGCGACCUUGACGACGGCAAUGACCGCGUCACGACGACGGCAUCGACCGCGGCAUCCACGACGGCAUGACUGCAUCGACACGGCGUCACUACAGUGGCGAUCCUACACGGCCGCACGGUUCUGGCAAAACCGAUGUGUGCUCGAUGGGCUUCCUCUGGUCUUGGCAAAACCGGUGGACUCAUCGCCGAUGGCAUCCUCUGACAUCCGCAAGGUGUAUCGUCCACGUUUGCAGCUCUGUCAUAGCGCAUUUUUUUUGCGCCUCCGGCUCUGUGCGGCUUCAUCAUCCACGACGACUAUAUCAUCGACCACUGCUACAUCACCAUGAUCGGCUACCUCGACAUCGACAUUAAUGGCUUGGUCUACAGCAACACAUCGACAACAACUCCAGUCAACAACGUCCGCCUCAUUACUUGCGUCCACGACACUCCCGUUGUGACUGCGGGAGGGAAUAGAGGAGAAGACAGGGAAGGCACCAGAAGGGGACGCAGUCACCGUCCUAGGUGUCGACCCAUCAACCCAUCAGAGACAAAGUUGAUGAUGGCGUAGCGGAGAAGACGACGAAAGCUCAAGACUUCAAAUUCAGUCGUACUCGUCCGCUUCACUCCCGCUACGACUGAGGGGGAAUGUUAGAAAUAUAUAAUUGGGUUUAGUUUAGAGAUAAGGAGAUAGAGAUAGAAUUAGUUUAAACCACAUGUAACUUGUCUUGUACUCCAAAUCUCUACCCCUCUUGUACUCCUAUAUAUACCCUACACAAGGGUCAGAUCAAUACAACGAAUAUUGUAGGUUUUAUAUUUUAUACAAAUUCAUUAUAGAGUUUUGAUCAAAUUCGGAUACAACUGUUAUCCAGAAUUUUUCGAAGAAUGAGUCAGGUCUAUUCUGAAGGUAAAAAAGACUUGAAAGUCCUAAAAUAUUAUAGAUGGGUAGCAUAUUGAAGUGGAUUCGCUCUUUGUUUCCUGUUUUUUAUGGUGGCUAUGCUCUGCGUGGAGCUCGGGGUCCUGGCCAGCAGCCCGCAGUUCGUUCUUCAAUUUGUGGUGCUCUUUCUAUGUCAGCGGUCUCGCAGGUUUUCUGGUCUAUCUCCUCACUGUCUUCAGGUCCUAGCUGGCAUCAUUCUUCGUUUGUCGCUCUAUG